GUCCUGGGAUGGGAAACGAACCCACAGUGUUCCGCUUACUGGGCAGAUACCAUGUCCACUAGGCUACCCUGGA
rnacentral:tRNA from 1 species